GGCAACCUGGGGGGUGUGAGAGAGGGGUGAGGACUGGGAGGUCUCCUGGGAGCCCACAGCAGGGUAUGAGCAGCUUUGGGAUUGCUACAACAGCCCUCGUGCCCAUGGGAAUGGCUGUGCUGGGUGGGAGACUUUGCUUUCAGUGACACCUGGAUGUGCCCUCCUUGGUCCCCCAAAGGUGUGAGAAGAGCCAGGUCUGAUCAGCCUUUCCAAGACCCUGGAACAGAGGCAAGUUUUCUCCCCAGCCCUGAAUUGCUGAUGCCAACACAACACGUUUAGGGUAGGAAAGCAGCUGUGGGGAGGGGUGGGAUGUGUUGAUGUGAGGGAGAGCGCAAAAAAACAGGAGGGGGAAAAACAAUUCCUUUCUCCUCCAGCACAGAGUUUUUUGUUGUGGCACAUAAAACAGGACAAGACUCCUUGGUCUGGUGUUGCAGCAUUGCCUAGACAUGUUUUGGGGAAGAUGCUGGAGAGGUAAAUCCCACAAACACACAGGAAAGUACACACAGGUGUGCAAGGGGGUUUGUGCACACAAAUUCACAUGUACACACACAGGUUUCCUGUUUCAACACCCUGACUUUUCUCACAGCAGCUCAGUUACAGGAAAGAAGUUUCAGCACACAUGGGAAUCAGAGGAGAGCUCAUAACACCUCUCUGGCUUCAUCUGCAGAACCUGAGCUUCUGCCUUUGAUACAAAACCAAACACUUCAUUUCUAGACGGUUUCUGGAUUUAAAACUGACAACUCCAGCCCAGUUCGCCUCAUCCCUGCAUUCAAGAUGCACCAGAAAUAAGACCAUUGGAAUUUUGUGUUCCAAGAGAAGCAGCUCAAGUUUUUGUUCCUGCUCCUUUUAUGCAGACACUCGAUUCUCCGACGUCGGAUGGAAACCUUCGCAUUUCCAGCCCGAGUUUAUUCCUGCUGGUUUGUACCCGCUCGUUCUCGUGCCAACAUUGUUCUUGGGUGGACAUAAAUAAUUUCCCUCCC